GACGAACGCUGGCGGCGUGCCUAAUACAUGCAAGUAGAACGCUGAAGGAGGAGCUUGCUUCUCUGGAUGAGUUGCGAACGGGUGAGUAACGCGUAGGUAACCUGCCUUGUAGCGGGGGAUAACUAUUGGAAACGAUAGCUAAUACCGCAUAAUAGUAGAUGUUGCAUGACAUUUGCUUAAAAGGUGCAAUUGCAUCACUACCAGAUGGACCUGCGUUGUAUUAGCUAGUUGGUGGGGUAACGGCUCACCAAGGCGACGAUACAUAGCCGACCUGAGAGGGUGAUCGGCCACACUGGGACUGAGACACGGCCCAGACUCCUACGGGAGGCAGCAGUAGGGAAUAUUCGGCAAUGGACGGAAGUCUGACCGAGCAACGCCGCGUGAGUGAAGAAGGUUUUCGGAUCGUAAAGCUCUGUUGUAAGAGAAGAACGAGUGUGAGAGUGGAAAGUUCACACUGUGACGGUAUCUUACCAGAAAAGGACGGCUAACUACGU
rnacentral:rRNA from 1 species